rnacentral:misc_RNA from 1 species
GAUGAAGAACGCAGCGAAAUGCGAUAAUUAAUGUGAAUUGCAGAAUUCAGUGAAUCAUCGAGUCUUUGAACGCACAUUGCACCCCCUGGUAUUCCGGGGGUAUGCCUGUCCGAGCGUCAUUGCUGCCCUCAAGCACGGCUUGUGUGUUGGGUCGUCGUCCCCCCGGGGACGGGCCCGAAAGGCAGCGGCGGCACCGCGUCCGGUCCUCGAGCGUAUGGGGCUUUGUCACCCGCUCUUGUAGGCCCGGCCGGCGCUGGCCGACGCUGAAAAGCAACCAACUAUUUCUCCAGGUUGACCUCGGAUCAGGUAGGGAUACCCGCUGAACUUAAGCAUAUCAAUAAGCGGAGGA